AGCAGUAGCCACGGGAAUACGUAGGUGGCAAGCGUUGUCCGGAAUUAUUGGGCGUAAAGGGCUCGCAGGCGGUUUCUUAAGUCUGAUGUGAAAGCCCCCGGCUCAACCGGGGAGGGUCAUUGGAAACUGGGAAACUUGAGUGCAGAAGAGGAGAGUGGAAUUCCACGUGUAGCGGUGAAAUGCGUAGAGGUGUGGAGGAACACCAGUGGCGAAGGCGACUCUCUGGUCUGUAACUGACGCUGAGGAGCGAAAGCGUGGGGAGCGAACAGGAUUAGAUACCCCCGUAGUCCCUGUCUCUUAUAC
rnacentral:rRNA from 1 species